CCUACGGGAGGCAGCAGUGAGGAAUAUUUGUCAAUGGGCUUACGCCUGAACCAGCCAAGUCGCGUGAGGGAAGACUGCCCUAUGGGUUGUAAACCUCUUUUGUCUGGGAGCAACGCCGGCUACGUGUAGCCCGACUGAGAGAACCUGAUGAAAAAGCACCGGCUAACUCCGUCCCAGCAGCCGCUGUAAUACGGAGGAUGAGAGCGUGAUCCGGAUUAUUUGGGUUUAAUGGGUGCGUUGGCGGUAUGCCAAGUCAGCGGUAAAAUCGCGGGGCUAAACCGCGCUCCGCCGAUGAAACUGGCGUUCUUGAGUGGGCGAGAAGUAUGCGGAAUGCGUGGUGUAGCGGUGAAAUGCAUAGAUAUCGCGAAGAACUCCGAUUGCGAAGGCAGCAUCCCGGAGCCCAACUGACGCUGAAGCACGAAAGCGAGGGUAUCGAACAGGAUUAGAUACCCGGGUAGUC
rnacentral:rRNA from 1 species